GGAGAGGAGAGUGGAAUUCCUAGUGUAGCGGUGAAAUGCGUAGAUAUUAGGAGGAACACCAGUUGCGAAGGCGGCUCCCUGGACUGUAACUGACGCUGAGGCACGAAAGCGUGGGGAGCAAACAGGAGUAGAUACCCUGGUAGUCCACGCUGUAAACGAUGAGUACUAGGUGUCGGGGGUUACCCCCCUCGGUGCCGCAGCUAAC
rnacentral:rRNA from 1 species